CCCUUAGAUGUUCUGGGCUGCACGCGCGCUACACUGAAGCGUUCAACGAGUAUUCACCUUGCCCGGGAGGGUUGGGUAAUCUUUUCAAAACGCUUCGUGAUGGGGAUAGAUUAUUGCAAUUAUUAAUCUUCAACGAGGAAUUCCUAGUAAGCGCGAGUCAUCAGCUCGUGCUGAUUACGUCCCUGCCCUUUGUACACACCGCCCGUCGCUCCUACCGAUUGAAUGCUCAGGUGAGCCAUUCGGACUUUCAUCAUGCUGGUUUCCAGUUUUGAUGAAGGAAAGUCUUGCGAACCUUAUCAUUUAGAGGAAGGAGAAGUCGUAACA
rnacentral:rRNA from 1 species